rnacentral:rRNA from 1 species
GCAGGUUGAAGGUGCGGUAACACGCACUGGAGGACCGAACCCACGUCUGUUGAAAAAGACGGGGAUGACGUGUGGCUAGGGGUGAAAGGCCAAUCAAACUCGGAGAUAGCUGGUUCUCCGCGAAAUCUAUUUAGGUAGAGCGUCACGUGAAUACCCUCGGGGGUAGAGCACUGGAUGGGCUAGGGGGACUCACCGUCUUACCAAACCUAACCAAACUCCGAAUACCGAAGAGUAGAGCUCGGCAGACAGACCAUGGGUGCUAAGGUCCAUGGUCGAGAGGGAAACAGCCCAGACCGCCAGCUAAGGUCCCUAAGUUAUGGCUAAGUGGGAAAGGAUGUAGGAAGGCCAAGACAACCAGGAGGUUGGCUUAGA